ensembl:lncRNA
GAGGGGCCAGCCAGGUGACCCUGGGGGCCUUGAAGCUGGGAGGAAGCUGGGCUGGGGCUUGGCUGCCAGAACAAUCCAGGCUCCACUCCAGCCCAUCAGGGGGCUUGAGGCUGAGUGGGCAAGAUAAACCGUUUCAGUGGUUUUUAGGAGCCCUAAUCAAUUGCAAGGCAGGGCAAAGCCCUCAGGGACAGAUAAAGCCAGCCCCGCGCUCCAAGCCCAGUUGGAGCCAACGUUUGUGUGGUUUGAACUUUCGUGUGGUUUGGAAAGUCCGCCCGUCUUUGCUGGAGUGGAUUACUCCGUUCCCAAACUGCAAUGCAGUGACGCGAAUGGCCCUGGACCCCACAAACCAGCCCUGAAAUGAUACGAAGAAGAUGAAGAUCAGAGGGGCUAAGUCACUUGCCCAGAACCGUGCAGCCAGCAAGUUGGGUUGCCAGGACUUCAAACAGCAGCUACAUCUCCAGCCUGCUUCCUGCACCUGGUGGGGGACACAGUGCUUCUCCGCCUUCAGGAAACAGCCCACUUGUCAGCAGCUGGGCUCCCAGGAACAAAGGCCUAGGUUCAUUACCACAGUAUCGACCCUGACACGUUGCACUCGGGCCACCUCCCCCAGAGUUCCUCAAUUCACACCCCAAAUGAAGCGUAAUUGGACCUGGACAUCUUUGAAGUCCCCCGAGCAGCUUGCCAGCAUUUUGAAAUGUCCUUGAUUUGCAUGGUGAAAACCUGGCUGGAGGUGACUUUUUUUCUUUUCCCUCAUCCCACAGUUUUCAAGACAGAAUGAUUUUAAAUGACAUUCCCCAGCCAGGGGAGAGUUACCAUGGAAGAAAUAAAAAUUCUCAAAGCCCCAAAAAGAAAAGGCAAAAGAAGUCCAAGGUUUUGCUGCAUCUCUCACGUGCCCCUUUGCUCGAUUUCUGUCCUGUGAGGGCCGCGCCAGGGUUUCCUCUCAACCUUCUUCCCAGACCCCAGACC